CAGCAGCCGCGGUAAUUCCGGCGGCCCGAGUGGCGGUCACUAUUAUUGGGCUUAAAGCGUCCGUAGCCGGGUUGGGAAGUCCUCCGGGAAAUCUGGCCGCUUAACGGUCAGAAUGCCGGAGGAUACUCCCAGCCUAGGGAGCGGGAGAGGCCGAGGGUAUUCCCGGAGUAGGGGUGAAAUCCUAUAAUCCCGGGAGGACCACCUGUGGCGAAGGCGCUCGGCUGGAACGCGUCCGACGGUGAGGGACGAAGGCCAGGGGAGCAAACCGGAUUAGAUACCCGGGUAGUCCUGGCUGUAAACGAUGCGGACUUUGUGUCGGACAAGCUAUGAGCUUGUCCGGUGCCGGAGGGAAACCGUUAAGUCCGCCGCCUGGGGAGUACGGCCGCAAGGCUGAAACUUAAAGGAAUUGGCGGG
rnacentral:rRNA from 1 species